rnacentral:rRNA from 1 species
CAGUCGCCGCGGUAAUACGUAGGGUGCAAGCGUUAAUCGGAAUUACUGGGCGUAAAGCGUGCGCAGGCGGUUUUGUAAGACAGAGGUGAAAUCCCCUGGCUCAACCUGGGAACUGCCUUUGUGACUGCAAGGCUAGAGUACGGCAGAGGGGGAUGGAAUUCCGCGUGUAGCAGUGAAAUGCGUAGAUAUGCGGAGGAACACCGAUGGCGAAGGCAAUCCCCUGGGCCUGUACUGACGCUCAUGCACGAAAGCGUGGGGAGCAAACAGGAUUAGAUACCCGCGUAGUCCCUGUCUCUUAUAC